CAGCCGCCGCGGUAAUACCGGCGGCCCGAGUGGCGGCCACUAUUAUUGGGCUUAAAGCGUCCGUAGCCGGGUUGGUUAGUCUCCCGGGAAAUCUGGCCGCUUAACGGUCAGAAUUCCGGGAGAUACUGCCAGCCUAGGGACCGGGAGAGGCCGAGGGUAUUCCCGGAGUAGGGGUGAAAUCCUAUAAUCCCGGGAGGACCACCUGUGGCGAAGGCGCUCGGCUGGAACGGGUCCGACGGUGAGGGACGAAGGCCAGGGGAGCAAACCGGAUUAGAUACCCGGGUAGUCCUGGCUGUAAACGAUGCGGACUUUGUGUCGGACAAGCUAUGAGCUUGUCCGGUGCCGGAGGGAAGCCGUUAAGUCCGCCGCCUGGGGAGUACGGCCGCAAGGCUGAAACUUAAAGGAAUUGGCGGG
rnacentral:rRNA from 1 species